CCACAUCCACAACUACGCCGUACUGAAAGAGAUUCAACAGUUAAACGAAAAAUUAUCCCAACUAUCCAUAAUGGCGAACCGGCAGUCGAACGGCACGGAAACGUCGGAUUCUAACCGCACAGUCGUAUCUCGGUUCUAUCCAUUCAGCGCGGGAAGACGGGACGCGCUCACGGGGACUUUAGACUCCAUGCAGGUAAGUUUGAUCGACGCCAGCCAACUUCUGGACUCCCAGUCCCUUCUGAACGCGCCCGACUAACAUCAAGCCAUCGUUGACUACGUAACAAUACUCGUGCGCGUCUCAUGUAUACAUUUCUAAGUAUUUGUAUACUUUAUUACCGUGUUAUAAAGUCGAUUUCAACUUUAGACCAUAACACUUGUCGCGCGUAGCCAAGUCAUAUGUAAAAAUAUAUUUUUUCUGGAUUUAAUAGAUGCGUGCACCGAAUUAAUAAGAAAAUAUUAUUAAAAAAAAGAGCGAUAUGGUCAAACGCACUUGAAAGUAAUUAUUAUAAAGUUUAGGACUUUAGGAAUUAUCGCUAAAAUUGCAUAGUUACUGCUUUUGUUUAAAAAGCGUUUGAGUAUUCAGCUGGUUAUACAUUUUGAAUAGUAUUUUAAAUGAAGACUGCGAUUAUCGUAUUGCCUUAAAAAAAAUAAGCUUAUAUAAAUUAUAU
rnacentral:misc_RNA from 1 species